rnacentral:misc_RNA from 1 species
GAUGAAGAACGUAGCGAAAUGCGAUACUUGGUGUGAAUUGCAGAAUCCCGUGAACCAUCGAGUCUUUGAACGCAAGUUGCGCCCGAAGCCAUUAGGCCGAGGGCACGCCUGCCUGGGCGUCACACGUCGUUGCCCCCCCAACCCCCUCGGGAGUUGGGCGGGACGGAUGAUGGCCUCCCGUGUGCUUCGUCAUGCGGUUGGCAUAAAAACAAGUCCUCGGCGACUAACGCCACGACAAUCGGUGGUUGUCAAACCUCUGUUGCCUAUCGUGUGCGCAUGUCGAACGAGGGCUCAAUGAACCAUGUUGCAUUGAUUCGUCGAUGCUUUCAACGCGACCCCAGGUCAGGCGGGGUUACCCGCUGAAUUUAAGCAUAUCAAUAAGCGGAGGA